ACGAACGCUGGCGGCAGGCCUAAAACAUGCAAGUCGAACGAACCUUCGGGUUAGUGGCGCACGGGUGAGUAACACGUGGGAAUGUGCCUCUGGGUGCGGAACAACGUCGGGAAACUGACGCUAAUACCGCAUAAUGUCUACGGACCAAAGAUUUAUUGCCCAGAGAUCAGCCCGCGUCUGAUUAGCUAGUUGGUGAGGUAAUGGCUCACCAAGGCGACGAUCAGUAGCUGGUCUGAGAGGAUGAUCAGCCACACUGGAACUGAGACACGGUCCAGACUCCGUACGGGAGCAGCAGUUUAGGAAUAUUGGACAAUGGGGGCAACCCUGAUCCAGCCAUGCCGCGUGUGUGAAGAAGGCCUUAGGGUUGUAAAGCACUUUCGGCUGUGAAGAUAAUGACAGUAGCAGAAGAAGAAGCUCCGGCUAAAUUCGUGCCAGCAGCCGCGGUAAU
rnacentral:rRNA from 1 species